rnacentral:rRNA from 1 species
GACGAACGCUGGCGGCGUGCUUAACACAUGCAAGUCGAACGAAGUGGCGAACGGGUGAGUAACGCGUAAUCAACCUGCCCUUCAGAGGGGGACAACAGUUGGAAACGACUGCUAAUACCGCAUACUGAAGGAGGGGAUUGCGUCGGAUUAGCUAGUUGGAGGGGUAACGGCCCACCAAGGCGAUGAUCAGUAGCCGGUCUGGGGGGAUGAACGGCCAAAUUGGGACUGGGGAACGGCCCAGGCUCCUACGGGAGGGAGCAGUGGGGAAUCUUCCGCAAUGGACGAAAGUCUGAAGGAGCAACGCCGGGUGAGUGAUGACGGCCUUCGGGUUGGAAAGCUCUGUUAAUCGGGACGCGGUACCGGAAUAGAAAGCCACGGCUAACUACGUGCCAGCAGCCGCGGUAAUUC